GGGGAUUGAAGCGUAGCUGAAGGAGACGAUGAAAGAGGAGGAGGAGGAGGAGGAGGAGGAGGAGGCAGCAGAGGGUGUUUGGGGUCGGGGGUGGUCGCGAGGGUGGAAGCUGCGAGAGGGCAGAAAACUCCCCGCGUGGAAGAGAGUCGAACAGGUCGAGGCUGCGGAUGGAAACGAGCGGGAUGGAUAAACUUCGAAGCGAAGCGAAGCGACUGUCCCCGAGGCUGAUGCAUAAUUCAGGAAUCGUCACCGGCGAGGAUAUUGCCAAUUUGGCGUCGAUGAAAAUACGAUCGGAUUUGUCGGCUACCCCAGAAUGGCUCGUCCG
rnacentral:misc_RNA from 1 species